rnacentral:rRNA from 1 species
UCAAGCGCGAAAAGGGCGUUUGGUGAAUGCCUUGGCAGUAAGAGGCGAUGAAAGACGUGAUACUCUGCGAUAAGCCAUGGGGAGCUGAGAAUAAGCUUUGAUCCAUGGAUUUCUGAAUGGGGCAACCCACCUGAUUGUUUAUUGUUGUCCUACCGCUUUGCUACUUGAGGACGUAAGUUCGCAAGGUGCAGACGGUGGGUUCAUCAGUAAGCAGAACCAGGUAUUUAUAGACUGAAUACAUAGGUUUAUAAAAGCAAACCCGGGGAACUGAAACAUCUAAGUACCCGGAGGAAAGGAAAUCAAUUGAUACUCCCCCAGUAGCGGCGAGCGAACGGGGACCAGCCGAGCCAUGAGUGUGGUUAGAAUGCGUUGGAAUGCGCAACCAAAGUGGGUGAUAGUCCCGUAUAAGAAGCAUGAUUGGACGUAUUAAGUAGGGCGGAACACGUGAAAUUCUGUCUGAAGAUCGGAGGACCACCUUCGAAGGCUAAGUACUCCUUACUGACCGAUAGCGAACCAGUACCGUGAGGGAAAGGUGAAAAGCACCCCGACGAGGGGAGUGAAACAGUACCUGAAACCGAACGCCUACAAUCAGUCGGAGGGGCAUAAGCCCUGACGGCGUACCUUUUGUAUAAUGGGUCAUCGACUUGGUCUAUCUAGCAAGCUUAAGCCGUUAGGUGUAGGCGCAGCGAAAGCGAGUCUUAAUAGGGCGUUGAGUUUGUGGGAUCAGACCCGAAACCGAGUGAUCUAGGCAUGGCCAGGUUGAAGGUAAGGUAACACUUACUGGAGGACCGAACCCACAUCCGUUGAAAAGGAUCGGGAUGAGCUGUGCCUAGGGGUGAAAGGCCAAUCAAACUCGGAGAUAGCUGGUUCUCUGCGAAAUCUAUUUAGGUAGAGCGUCAUCCGAAUACCCUCGGGGGUAGAGCACUGGAUGGGUAAUGGGGCCCCACAGGCUUACUGAUCCUAACCAAACUCCGAAUACCGAGGAGUACUAGAUGGCAGACACACGGCGGAUGCUAACGUCCGUCGUGAAGAGGGAAACAACCCUGACCUACAGCUAAGGCCCCUAAUUCAUGGCUAAGUGGGAAAGCAGGUGAGACGACCAAAACAACCAGGAGGUUGGCUUAGAAGCAGCCAUCCUUUAAAGAUAGCGUAACAGCUCACUGGUCUAAAUAAGUUGUCCUGCGGCGAAGAUGUAACGGGGCUCAAGCCAUGAGCCGAAGCCGAGGAUGCCGUAAGGCAUGGUAGCAGAGCGUAGUGUGACAUGGUUUCUAUCCUCUUUAGUGUCCUUCGGGACACCAUGGAGGAGAAGAAAUCUUCGAUGAAGCGGGCCUGUGAGGGAUCCCGUGGAGAGAUCACUAGUGAGAAUGAUGACAUGAGUAGCGACAAAGAGUGUGAGAGACACUCUCGCCGAAAGUCCAAGGGUUCCUGCUUAAAGCUAAUCUGAGCAGGGUAAGCCGACCCCUAAGGCGAGGCCGAAAGGCGUAGUCGAUGGGAACCAGGUUAAUAUUCCUGGGCCAGAUGGAAGUGACGGAUCUCGAGGGUAGUUCAUCCUUAUCGGAUUGAAUGGGCUGCUUAGAGGUCCCUGGAAAUAGCUCCAUCGCUAGAUCGUACCCUAAACCGACACAGGUGGAUAGGUAGAGAAUACCAAGGCGCUUGAGAGAACUAUGUUGAAGGAACUCGGCAAAAUACCUCCGUAAGUUCGCGAGAAGGAGGCCCGGUUUCUAGGCAACUAGAGGCUGGGGGCACAAACCAGGGGGUGGCGACUGUUUACUAAAAACACAGGGCUCUGCGAAGUCGCAAGACGACGUAUAGGGUCUGACGCCUGCCCGGUGCCUGAAGGUUAAAAGGAGGGGUGAGAGCUCUGAAUUGAAGCCCAGGUAAACGGCGGCCGUAACUAUAACGGUCCUAAGGUAGCGAAAUUCCUUGUCGGG